UUCCAUUGCCCUAGCCGCCACCCUCUCAACUCAUGAAAAUCCCUCCUCCCUUCAAAGCACCUUGCGCAUAAGGUAUGGGAAAGCCGCUGCAAGGGACUGAAACUCUUCCCAAGUAGCAUCUUUAACUACUUGCCCUUGCUAUCGCACCAAUAUUUCCACCAUCUAUUUGUUAUGACGUUUCUGAAAUCUUCUGUCGAGAACCUUAGCUGGUUCUGGUUCAAUGGUACCAUCGGCAUCGAUUGGAGGUAAUUGUGGCAAAACCACAACAUUAGAGCCCAAUUUACACUUUAAUUGGGACACAUGAAAGACUAGAUGGAUCUGAGACGAAGCGGGUAGCUGAAGUCGAAAAGCAACCUCUCCAAUCCUUUGGGUCAGCUAAAAAGGACCCUAGAAAUGUGGAGAAAGGUUAAGAGACCGAAGCUGUGAUUUUGACAUUUGAUGAUACAGCUACAAUCUAAGGUUGUCUUUUAACAAAUGUAGCAUUUGGUCUCUUGACAAAAGCAGUUGAUGCACAUUUGCAAUUUGAGUGGUACCAGGCACGUAACAGACAAGCCAAGGCAGAGGAAAACCAUACACAACCUAAAAAGGGGUCAUCUUUGUCUAGCUGUGCACUGAGAAACGCAAUUUGAAGGUCGAACUCCUCGGCUCCUCAAUCCUUGCGACGACGACGCCGCCCUCCUGGCUCGCCUCUCCACUCAUCUUCACGGUGAUGUCGCGUCGCCUCCAGGCCCUCCACUCCAGUUUGCUUCAGUCUUCGCGCCUCACGGUGACGCCGCCCCCCUCUGGCCUCUAGUUUCACGGUGACGCCGAGUCGCCCACAAAGAUUUCAACCACGGAUUCGCAUUUGCCGCCGCCAGCGCCCCGUCGCCCACGCCGCGCCUUCCACUAUGAGUUCAGCAGCAAGUGAAAAUGAUGAGAUGAUUGAUUUGGACCCGUUUGACUCAGAAAGUAUUCAAAAUGAGGAAGUUAAAACAAAAAGAAAGAAGCGGUCAAACGUGUGGGCUUUUUUUGAAAUGGUUCCUGAUUCUGAGAACAAUGAUGGCAAACCACGAGCCAAGUGUAAGAUGUGUGGAGUUAUUUAUAUGACAGCAAGCAAAUAUGGAACCAGCAAUAUGAGGCGUCACAUUGAGACAUGCCCUAGGAGAAAUUCACGAGAUAUUGGUCAGAUGAUGUUAUCACAAAAUAGUGGAAAUAUUUCGGUAAGCGCUCAUAAAUUUGACACUGAACAAUAUAGAGAAAUUUUGGUAUCUGCUAUUGUGAAGCAUGAAUUGCCUUUUCGGUUUGUUGAAUAUUCGGGGGUGAGAUCUUUAUUACAAUAUUUACGUCCAGAUGUUCCAAUUAUUUCUAGGA